UACGAAGGGUGCAAACGUUGCUCGGAAUUAUUGGGCGUAAAGCGCACGUAGGCGGCUUUGCAAGUCGGAUGUGAAAUCCCUCGGCUUAACCAAGGAAGUGCAUCCGAAACUGCAGAGCUUGAGUACUUAAGAGGAUCGCGGAAUUCCCGGUGUAGAGGUGAAAUUCGUAGAUAUCGGGAGGAACACCAGUGGCGAAGGCGGCGAUCUGGGAAGAUACUGACGCUGAGGCGCGAAAGCGUGGGGAGCGAACAGG
rnacentral:rRNA from 1 species